rnacentral:rRNA from 1 species
GGUUAAGCGACUAAGCGUACACGGUGGAUGCCCUGGCAGUCAGAGGCGAUGAAGGGCGUGCUAAUCUGCGAUAAGCGCCGGUAAGGUGAUAUGAACCGUUAUAACCGGCGAUACCCGAAUGGGGAAACCCAGUGUGAUUCGUCACACUAUCAUUAACUGAAUCCAUAGGUUAAUGAGGCGAACCGGGGGAACUGAAACAUCUAAGUACCCCGAGGAAAAGAAAUCAACCGAGAUUCCCCCAGUAGCGGCGAGCGAACGGGGAGGAGCCCAGAGCCUGAAUCAGCAUGUGUGUUAGUGGAAGCGUCUGGAAAGGCGCGCGAUACAGGGUGACAGCCCCGUACACAAAAGCGCAUGUGCUGUGAGCUCGAUGAGUAGGGCGGGACACGUGGUAUCCUGUCUGAAUAUGGGGGGACCAUCCUCCAAGGCUAAAUACUCCUGACUGACCGAUAGUGAACCAGUACCGUGAGGGAAAGGCGAAAAGAACCCCGGCGAGGGGAGUGAAAAAGAACCUGAAACCGUGUACGUACAAGCAGUGGGAGCACAGGUUUACCUGUGUGACUGCGUACCUUUUGUAUAAUGGGUCAGCGACUUAUAUUCUGUAGCAAGGUUAACCGAAUAGGGGAGCCGGAGGGAAACCGAGUCUUAACCGGGCGUUAAGUUGCAGGGUAUAGACCCGAAACCCGGUGAUCUAGCCAUGGGCAGGUUGAAGGUUGGGUAACACUAACUGGAGGACCGAACCGACUAAUGUUGAAAAAUUAGCGGAUGACCUGUGGCUGGGGGUGAAAGGCCAAUCAAACCGGGAGAUAGCUGGUUCUCCCCGAAAGCUAUUUAGGUAGCGCCUCGUGAAUUCAUCUCCGGGGGUAGAGCACUGUUUCGGCUAGGGGGCCAUCCCGGCUUACCAACCCGAUGCAAACUGCGAAUACCGGAGAAUGUUAUCACGGGAGACACACGGCGGGUGCUAACGUCCGUCGUGAAGAGGGAAACAACCCAGACCGCCAGCUAAGGUCCCAAAGUCAUGGUUAAGUGGGAAACGAUGUGGGAAGGCCCAGACAGCCAGGAUGUUGGCUUAGAAGCAGCCAUCAUUUAAAGAAAGCGUAAUAGCUCACUGGUCGAGUCGGCCUGCGCGGAAGAUGUAACGGGGCUAAACCAUGCACCGAAGCUGCGGCAGCGAACGUAUCACUUAAAGCGAUUCAGCGGGUUACGAUUGACGGAGCGAAGCGACGUCAAAGCGUAUACAAAGUCGAGUCGGUUUAAGGAUACGUUCGUUGGGUAGGGGAGCGUUCUGUAAGCCUGCGAAGGUGGCCUGUGAGGGUUGCUGGAGGUAUCAGAAGUGCGAAUGCUGACAUAAGUAACGAUAAAGCGGGUGAAAAGCCCGCUCGCCGGAAGACCAAGGGUUCCUGUCCAACGUUAAUCGGGGCAGGGUGAGUCGACCCCUAAGGCGAGGCCGAAAGGCGUAGUCGAUGGGAAACGGGUCAAUAUUCCCGUACUUGGUGUUACUGCGAAGGGGGACGGAGAAGGCUAUGUUGGCCGGGCGACGGUUGUCCCGGUUUAAGCGUGUAGGUGUGUGUUCCAGGUAAAUCCGGUUCACUUUAACACUGAGGCGUGAUGACGAGGCACUACGGUGCUGAAGUAACAAAUGCCCUGCUUCCAGGAAAAGCCUCUAAGCAUCAGGUAACAUCAAAUCGUACCCCAAACCGACACAGGUGGUCAGGUAGAGAAUACCAAGGCGCUUGAGAGAACUCGGGUGAAGGAACUAGGCAAAAUGGUGCCGUAACUUCGGGAGAAGGCACGCUGACACGUAGGUGAAGUGAUUUACUCACGGAGCUGAAGUCAGUCGAAGAUACCAGCUGGCUGCAACUGUUUAUUAAAAACACAGCACUGUGCAAACACGAAAGUGGACGUAUACGGUGUGACGCCUGCCCGGUGCCGGAAGGUUAAUUGAUGGGGUCAGCGCAAGCGAAGCUCCUGAUCGAAGCCCCGGUAAACGGCGGCCGUAACUAUAACGGUCCUAAGGUAGCGAAAUUCCUUGUCGGGUAAGUUCCGACCUGCACGAAUGGCGUAAUGAUGGCCAGGCUGUCUCCACCCGAGACUCAGUGAAAUUGAACUCGCUGUGAAGAUGCAGUGUACCCGCGGCAAGACGGAAAGACCCCGUGAACCUUUACUAUAGCUUGACACUGAACAUUGAGCCUUGAUGUGUAGGAUAGGUGGGAGGCUUUGAAGUGUGGACGCCAGUCUGCAUGGAGCCGACCUUGAAAUACCACCCUUUAAUGUUUGAUGUUCUAACGUGGACCCGUUACCCGGGUUGCGGACAGUGUCUGGUGGGUAGUUUGACUGGGGCGGUCUCCUCCUAAAGAGUAACGGAGGAGCACGAAGGUUGGCUAAUCCUGGUCGGACAUCAGGAGGUUAGUGCAAUGGCAUAAGCCAGCUUGACUGCGAGCGUGACGGCGCGAGCAGGUGCGAAAGCAGGUCAUAGUGAUCCGGUGGUUCUGAAUGGAAGGGCCAUCGCUCAACGGAUAAAAGGUACUCCGGGGAUAACAGGCUGAUACCGCCCAAGAGUUCAUAUCGACGGCGGUGUUUGGCACCUCGAUGUCGGCUCAUCACAUCCUGGGGCUGAAGCAGGUCCCAAGGGUAUGGCUGUUCGCCAUUUAAAGUGGUACGCGAGCUGGGUUUAGAACGUCGUGAGACAGUUCGGUCCCUAUCUGCCGUGGGCGCUGGAGAACUGAGGGGGCUGCUCCUAGUACGAGAGGACCGGAGUGGACGCAUCACUGGUGUUCGGGUUGUCAUGCCAAUGGCACUGCCCGGUAGCUAAAUGCGGAAGAGAUAAGUGCUGAAAGCAUCUAAGCACGAAACUUGCCCCGAGAUGAGUUCUCCCUGAGACUUAGAGUCUCCUGAAGGAACGUUGAAGACGACGACGUUGAUAGGCCGGGUGUGUAAGCGCAGCGAUGCGUUGAGCUAACCGGUACUAAUGAACCGUGAGGCUUAACCUU